CAAUACGUCAGCGGCAGACGGGUGAGUAACGCGUGGGAACAUACCUUUUGGUUCGGAACAACACAGGGAAACUUGUGCUAAUACCGGAUAAGCCCUUACGGGGAAAGAUUUAUCGCCGAAAGAUUGGCCCGCGUCUGAUUAGCUAGUUGGUGAGGUAACGGCUCACCAAGGCGACGAUCCAUAGCUGGUUUGAGAGAACGACCAGCCACACUGGGACUGAGACACGGCCCAG
rnacentral:rRNA from 1 species